rnacentral:lncRNA from 1 species
UUUGGGAAAAGAGAAGAAGAGAAGUGACGUGAGAGAGCAGAAAAAAAGAAGAAACGAAGAGGAACAAUCUUCUUCUUCACCGAGCACGCUUCUGCCUGUUCCAGGAGCCACCCCUGCAACCACAGACCCGCCCUGCCGGCGUCUGCUGCUGCCGCCCGCCGGGCCUGCGCUCACGCCGCCGCGUCUCUGCCUCCGCCGCACCCCGCGUCGCCUGCUGCCCGAGCCUUCCGCCCAGACACAGCAACGCCGCCCCGCCUUCGCCAGUGGUCCGCGAACUAGCUGCCGCAACCCGCAUCUGCCCCGGCGUCCCCUGUUGCCCGAUCUCUUCGCGCAACCACCGCGCCAGAGCCACCAGCCGCCUAACGCCGCCCCUGCUCAGCCCGCGCUAACCUGCAACACCCUCUGCCUGAGCCCGGGUCGAGCCACUCCACUCUCUGCCCGACGAACUGCUCCUCCGUCGCAGCCCGACGCCGAUCCUCUGCCGUUGCUGCUGAGUCGCUCCCACCAGCCCGACGAAGCUGCUGCUGUGCCGAUCCGGGUCUCCGCCACGUUGCUGCCUGAGCGCCUCCGAGCGCUGACACCCGCGCCUCCUCUUCCGCCUCGACGCCGCCCAGAGCCGAUCCCCUUGCACGGCACCUCCUGUUCGCGACCGGCUGCGACCCGUGAGUCCCCCCCCCGGAGCCCCGACGACCGGCGACCGACGGUGAACCCCCCACAAAGCUGCCAAGCCGUG